UACGGGAGGCAGCAGUGGGGAAUAUUGCACAAUGGGCGCAAGCCUGAUGCAGCCAUGCCGCGUGUAUGAAGAAGGCUUUCGGGUUGUAAAGUACUUUCAGUCGUGAGGAAGGUGUUAAGGUUAAUAACCUUAGCAAUUGACGUUAGCGACAGAAGAAGCACCGGCUAACUCCGUGCCAGCAGCCGCGGUAAUACGGAGGGUGCGAGCGUUAAUCGGAAUUACUGGGCGUAAAGGGCACGCAGGCGGUUAAUUAAGUUGGAUGUGAAAUCCCCGGGCUUAACCUGGGAAUGGCAUUCAAGACUGGUUAGCUAGAGUCUUGUAGAGGGGGUAGAAUUCCAUGUGUAGCGGUGAAAUGCGUAGAGAUGUGGAGGAAUACCGGUGGCGAAGGCGGCCCCUGGACAAAGACUGACGCUCAUGUGCGAAAGCGUGGGGAGCAAACAGGGAUUAGAUACC
rnacentral:rRNA from 1 species